GACAGAGGGUGCAAGCGUUAAUCAGACUGACUGGGCGUAAAGGGUGUGUAGGUGGAAAAGCAAGUGUGAUGUGAAAGUUCCGGGCUUAACCUGGAGAGGUCAUUGCAAACGGUUUUUCUGGAGUCAAGCAGAGGGAAGGGGAAUUUCCGGUGUAGCGGUGAAAUGCGUAGAUAUCGGAAGGAACACCAGUGGCGAAGGCGCCUUCCUGGGCUUAGACUGACACUGAGGCACGAAAGCGUGGGUAGCGAACAGG
rnacentral:misc_RNA from 1 species